GAUGAAGGAACGUAGCGAAAUGCGAUAAGUAAUGUGAAUUGCAGAAUUCAGUGAAUCAUCGAAUCUUUGAACGCACAUUGCGCCCCUUGGUAUUCCGAGGGGCAUGCCUGUUCGAGCGUCAUUAUAACCCUUCAAGCUCAGCUUGGUGUUGGGGCCUGCUGUAACUGGUAGCCCUUAAAAUCAGUGGCAGUGCUAUUAGGCUCUAAGCGUAGUAAUUCUUCUCGCUAUAGUGUGUAGUGAGCGCUUGCCAGAACCCCAAACUUUUAUAUGAUUGACCUCGGAUCAGGUAGGGAUACCCGCUGAACUUAAGCAUAUCAAUAAGCGGAGGA
rnacentral:misc_RNA from 1 species